rnacentral:rRNA from 1 species
CCUAUAAGACUGGGAUAACUUCGGGAAACCGGAGCUAAUACCGGAUAACAUUUAGAACCGCAUGGUUCUAAAGUGAAAGAUGGUUUUGCUAUCACUUAUAGAUGGACCCGCGCCGUAUUAGCUAGUUGGUAAGGUAACGGCUUACCAAGGCGACGAUACGUAGCCGACCUGAGAGGGUGAUCGGCCACACUGGAACUGAGACACGGUCCAGACUCCUACGGGAGGCAGCAGUAGGGAAUCUUCCGCAAUGGGCGAAAGCCUGACGGAGCAACGCCGCGUGAGUGAUGAAGGGUUUCGGCUCGUAAAACUCUGUUAUUAGGGAAGAACAAAUGUGUAAGUAACUGUGCACAUCUUGACGGUACCUAAUCAGAAAGCCACGGCUAACUACGUGCCAGCAGCCGCGGUAAUACGUAGGUGGCAAGCGUUAUCCGGAAUUAUUGGGCGUAAAGCGCGCGUAGGCGGUUUCUUAAGUCUGAUGUGAAAGCCCACGGCUCAACCGUGGAGGGUCAUUGGAAACUGGGAAACUUGAGUGCAGAAGAGGAAAGUGGAAUUCCAUGUGUAGCGGUGAAAUGCGCAGAGAUAUGGAGGAACACCAGUGGCGAAGGCGACUUUCUGGUCUGUAACUGACGCUGAUGUGCGAAAGCGUGGGGAUCAAACAGGAUUAGAUACCCUGGUAGUCCACGCCGUAAACGAUGAGUGCUAAGUGUUAGGGGGUUUCCGCCCCUUAGUGCUGCAGCUAACGCAUUAAGCACUCCGCCUGGGGAGUACGACCGCAAGGUUGAAAACUCAAA